UGGGGAAUAUUGGUCAAUGGGCGAGAGCCUGAACCAGCCAAGUCGCGUGAAGGAAGACUGCCUUAUGGGUUGUAAACUUCUUUUAUACAGGAAUAAAAAGGCUUACGUGUAGGCCAUUGCAAGUACUGUAUGAAUAAGCAUCGGCUAACUCCGUGCCAGCAGCCGCGGUAAUACGGAGGAUGCGAGCGUUAUCCGGAUUUAUUGGGUUUAAAGGGUGCGCAGGCGGGCUUUUAAGUCAGCGGUGAAAUCUGGACGCUUAACGUCCAAACUGCCGUUGAAACUGGGAGUCUUGAGUAUGGAUGAAGUAGGCGGAAUUCGUUGUGUAGCGGUGACAUGCAUAGAUAUAACGAGGAACUCCGAUUGCGUAGGCAGCUUACUAAGCCAUAACUGACGCUCAUGCACGAAAGCGUGGGGAUCAACAGAUUAGAUACCCUGGUAGUCCACGCCGUAAACGAUGAUUACUAGUUGUAUGCGAUAUGAUAGUAUGUGACUAAGCGAAAGCGAUAAGUAAUCCACCUGGGGAGUACGCCGGCAACGGUGAAACUCAAAGGAAUUGACGGGGUCAUAGCUUGUUCC
rnacentral:rRNA from 1 species